rnacentral:rRNA from 1 species
AUUGAACGCUGGCGGCAGGCCUAACACAUGCAAGUCGAGCGGAUGAAGGGAGCUUGCUCCUGGAUUCAGCGGCGGACGGGUGAGUAAUGCCCAGGAAUCUGCCUGGUAGUGGGGGAUAACGUCCGGAAACGGGCGCUAAUACCGCAUACGUCCUGAGGGAGAAAGUGGGGGAUCUUCGGACCUCACGCUAUCAGAUGAGCCUAGGUCGGAUUAGCUAGUUGGUGGGGUAAAGGCCUACCAAGGCGACGAUCCGUAACUGGUCUGAGAGGAUGAUCAGUCACACUGGAACUGAGACACAGUCCAGACUCCUACGGGAGGCAGCAGUGGGGAAUAUUGGACAAUGGGCGAAAGCCUGAUCCAGCCAUGCCGCGUGUGUGAAGAAGGUCUUCGGAUUGUAAAGCACUUUAAGUUGGGAGGAAGGGCAGUAAGUUAAUACCUUGCUGUUUUGACGUUACCAACAGAAUAAGCACCGGCUAACUUCGUG